GCAUUGAAGGCUCCCUGCUUGCUGAGCUCUGGGAAAGUAAAGCUCUCAUAUGGAAAAGAUGGGUCGUCCACAAUGUGCCAGUGAAACACAUUUAAUUUGUUGUAAGCCAUGACAUCCAGAGUUUCCAGGAUGGCUUUCAGAGGCAGGUAGUGGCGAGAGGUGUCCAGCAACAGGCCUCGGUGAGGGAAGCGGGGAAAGUCCACAAUUUCUGUCUCAUUGAUAUAGUACAUGCCAUUCUCAUCC
rnacentral:lncRNA from 1 species